CCUACGGGGGGCAGCAGUGGGGAAUAUUGGGCAAUGGGCGCAAGCCUGACCCAGCAACGCCGCGUGAAGGAAGAAGGCUUUCGGGUUGUAAACUUCUUUUAAGGGGGAAGAGCAGAAGACGGUACCCCUUGAAUAAGCCACGGCUAACUACGUGCCAGCAGCCGCGGUAAUACGUAGGUGGCAAGCGUUGUCCGGAUUUACUGGGUGUAAAGGGCGUGCAGCCGGAGAGACAAGUCAGAUGUGAAAUCCACGGGCUCAACCCGUGAACUGCAUUUGAAAAUGUUUCACUUGAGUGUCGGAGAGGUAACCGGAAUUCCUUGUGUAGCGGUGAAAUGCGUAGAUAUAAGGAAGAACACCAGUGGCGAAGGCGGAUUACUGGACGAUAACUGACGGUGAGGCGCGAAAGCGUGGGGAGCAAACAGGAUUAGAUACCCCAGUAGUC
rnacentral:rRNA from 1 species